GAGAGAAUGGGUGCCGAAGAGAGCCGGCAGGGAAUCAGACACGGAGCAGAAGGGGAGCUGACUUUGCACCAGAAGGAGACCGAAGUUAGAGAACGUCAGAAAACUUGAAGGUGGCUUACCGGCUUCCACAGCUCUCCGACUGAGAGUUGGUGCUGUUUGAACUAGAACGGUAACGAUGGCGCCUGGAUUUCUGUGGACGGCUACGAGAACUUUUGAGAGAAGAAAGCAAUGGAAUAAAUGUAAUAUAUCCUCCUCGGGAACAAAGGGCUGUGUCUCUCUCUGUGUGUGUCUGUGCGGGUGGUGUGCAGAUUAUGAGAACUGUGUAUGGGUCACUUACAACCUCAACUUGCAGCCAUUUGUUAAGCAAUCACUCCAAGUUACAAUGGCAUUGAAAAAGUGAUUUCUAACCCGUCCUCACACUUACGACCAUCCAAGCAGCCUGAGGAUCACAUGAACAAAAAUGGACAUAUCUGCUUGGGGCAUAAAAAAGGACAGCCCCGAGCAGGCUUGUGGGACUGGUGUUAAGUGGGAUGAUCGAAGAUCACUCAGGCACGGCGUAAAGAUAGACGGAGCCGGAAAGCUGGAGGUGCUAUCAGAUGCAUCAAGUCUUCCAGGCUGUUCUUCUGCCUCUCACAACCGUUGACAUUGCGGGUUUCUCCAGCUGGGUGUGAUUCUCCGGAAGGGGUGACUUCUGUUGGAAGAGGCAGGCAACUGCGGACAUCAGUGCUAAAAUAGAAAGAUGGAGAAUAACUUCUUCAGAAUAUGUUCUCAGGGCUGCAGCAACAUGAUCUUGCAAGUCUGAAGGCAAUCUGACUUAUCCUCUCCUUCUUUUCAUCUUCACGAGAGCAAGAUAAUGACUGCUGCCCGUUGACUUAGCGUGGUGGAUGCAAGAGAUACACAGCAGUCUUUCUGGACCACAGAGGCCUGGCAAAGUGUCUCCUACCAUUCUCAAGAUGCUUGCGAUGCAGUCACAAGUGAAAAAAAUCCCUGAGAUAAAUGGGAAGUGGAGUGGAAGAGAAGGAGAACGUCUUGUCACCCAGGAAAAAUUAAUCUGAAAAGAGCAUCCCGGAUCAACUCCGAUCCAGAGCAGCCCAAAAGAAGACUCACCCAGAGGCCAGUCCAAGCAAAACAGACAGCAGAAAUAAAGAGCAGCAGCAGCAGCAAUAUUUAACCGAACCAGAAGACGAUGUCAGCGGUAUUAGAGUUUUUUUCCCCAGCCCUUCCCAUCUCUAGUUCCACGUAAAGCGGGCCUUUUGCCAUUAGAGACGGUGGUGAUUUUGCAAACCCUUCUGUAAACUGCAGACAGUGGAACAUUCUAGACUUGGGAAAGUUGACAGACAAGAAAACUGAAACAUGCCAAGAAGAAUCUCAAGGAAUAUUGCAAAAGAAGACACAAGAAGACCUUUCGCUUCUCAUCCAGGAAGCUUCUUCAGUUCUGAUGGGAGGAUUUUUCUCCUCCGCCAUUCAGCCAGAAGCAUAGAAGCCUUUUCAAAAACUCACCUUUGAGAAAAACCGUGAUCUGGAUGACGGAGAAUCUCCACAGACAUUCGUAUGGCUUUGUACUGCUUUGCCUAGUUCAGAAGACUUUGCAAACCAGGUGUCUGCCGGUCAAGUCCUCCUUUCAUCUUCCGCCCGUAUGGGAUUAAACGAGUUUCGAACAAAAGGUGGGUGGAUGUGCCCUUGACCCAUCACGAAAGAAGGACUAAGGAUUUUCUGACACCCAUUUUUCCCCCCACACGGGGAUGCUGCAAGGGUGUGUAAGGAUGGAAAAAAC